CCUACGGGUGGCAGCAGUGAGGAAUAUUGGUCAAUGGACGGAAGUCUGAACCAGCCAUGCCGCGUGCAGGAAGACGGCUCUAUGAGUUGUAAACUUCUUUUGUACAAGGGUAAACCUGAAUACGUGUAUUCAGCUGAAAGUACUGUACGAAUAAGGAUCGGCUAACUCCGUGCCAGCAGCCGCGGUAAUACGGAGGAUCCAAGCGUUAUCCGGAUUUAUUGGGUUUAAAGGGUGCGUAGGCGGAUUGUUAAGUUAGAGGUGAAAGGUCGGGGCUUAACUCGGAAACUGCUUUUGAUACUGUUGGUCUAGAGAGCAGAUGCGGUAGGCGGAAUGUGUGGUGUAGCGGUGAAAUGCUUAGAGAUCACACAGAACACCGAUUGCGAAGGCAGCUUACCAAUCUAUCUCUGACGUUGAGGCACGAAAGCGUGGGGAGCAAACAGGAUUAGAUACCCCUGUAGUC
rnacentral:rRNA from 1 species